GACGAACGCUGGCGGCAUGCCUAAUACAUGCAAGUCGAACGAUGAUAUCACUGCUUGCAGUGAUUGAUUAGUGGCGAACGGGUGAGUAACACGUGAGGAACUUGCCCAUGAGCGGGGGACAACAUUCGGAAACGGAUGCUAAUACCCCAUAGGUGGAUUGGUCGCAUGACUAAUUCAUUAAAGGUGGCUCUGCUACCACUCAUGGAUAGCCUCGCGGCGUAUUAGCUAGUUGGUAAGGUAAUGGCUUACCAAGGCAGUGAUACGUAGCCGACUUGAGAGGGUGAUCGGCCACAUUGGGACUGAGAUACGGCCCAGACUCCUACGGGAGGCAGCAGUGGGGAAUAUUGCACAAUGGGCGCAAGCCUGAUGCAGCGACGCCGCGUGGGGGAUGACGGCCUUCGGGUUGUAAACUCCUUUCGCCAGGGACGAAGCGUUUUGUGACGGUACCUGGAGAAGAAGCACCGGCUAACUACGUGCCAGCAGCCGCGGUAAUACGUAGGGUGCAAGCGUUGUCCGGAAUUACUGGGCGUAAAGAGCUCGUAGGUGGUUUGUCACGUCGUCUAUGAAAUUCCACAGCUUAACUGUGGGCGUGCAGGCGAUACGGGCUGACUUGAGUACUGUAGGGGUAACUGGAAUUCCUGGUGUAGCGGUGAAAUGCGCAGAUAUCAGGAGGAACACCGAUGGCGAAGGCAGGUUACUGGGCAGUUACUGACGCUGAGGAGCGAAAGCAUGGGUAGCAAACAGGAUUAGAUACCCUGGUAGUCCAUGCCGUAAACGGUGGGCGCUAGGUGUAGGGACCUUUUGGGGUUUCUGUGCCGUAGCUAACGCAUUAAGCGCCCCGCCUGGGGAGUACGGCCGCAAGGCUAAAACUCAAAGGAAUUGACGGGGGCCCGCACAAGCGGCGGAGCAUGUGGAUUAAUUCGAUGCAACGCGAAGAACCUUACCUGGGCUUGACAUACACUGGAUCGCUGCAGAGAUGUAGUUUCCCUUGUGGCUAGUGUACAGGUGGUGCAUGGCUGUCGUCAGCUCGUGUCGUGAGAUGUUGGGUUAAGUCCCGCAACGAGCGCAACCCUUGUCUUAUGUUGCCAGCACGUUAUGGUGGGGACUCAUGAGAGACUGCCGGGGUUAACUCGGAGGAAGGUGGGGACGACGUCAAGUCAUCAUGCCCCUUAUGUCCAGGGCUUCACACAUGCUACAAUGGCCGGUACAAUGCGCAGCGAGCCUGUGAGGGUGAGCUAAUCGCUUAAAGCUGGUCUUAGUUCGGAUUGGGGUCUGCAACUCGACCCCAUGAAGUCGGAGUCGCUAGUAAUCGCAGAUCAGCAAUGCUGCGGUGAAUACGUUCCCGGGCCU
rnacentral:rRNA from 1 species